UACGAAGGGGGCUAGCGUUGCUCGGAAUUACUGGGCGUAAAGGGCGCGUAGGCGGAUAGUUUAGUCAGAAGGUAAAAGCCCCAGGGCUCAACCUUGGAACUGCCUUUGAUACUGGCUAUCUUGAGUUCGGGAGGAGGUGAGUGGAAUGCCGAGUGUAAGAGGUGAAAUUCGUAGAUAUUCGGCGGAACACCAGUGGCGAAGGCGACUCACUGGCCCGAUACUGACGCUGAGGCGACGAAAGGCAGUGGGGGAGCAAACACGG
rnacentral:rRNA from 1 species